rnacentral:rRNA from 1 species
CGGAGGGUGCAAGCGUUAUCCGGAUUCACUGGGUUUAAAGGGUGCGUAGGCGGCUAUAUAAGUCAGUGGUGAAAGCCCGCAGCUCAACUGCGGAACUGCCAUGAGACUGCAUAGCUUGAAUCUGGUUGAAGUGGGCGGAAUACAUCAUGUAGCGGUGAAAUGCUUAGAUAUGAUGUAGAACACCGAUUGCGAAGGCAGCUCACUAAGCCAACAUUGACGCUGAGGCACGAAAGCGUGGGUAGCGAACAGGAUUAGAUACCCUGGUAGUCCACGCCCUAAACGAUGAAUACUCGAUGUGUGCGCCUUGUGCGUACGCGUCCAAGCAAAAGCGUUAAGUAUUCCACCUGGGAAGUACGGCCGCAAGGUUA